rnacentral:rRNA from 1 species
CUGCGGAAGGAUCAUUCA